AACGAACGCUGGCGGCAGGCCUAACACAUGCAAGUCGAGCGAGGACUUCGGUUCUAGCGGCGGACGGGUGAGUAACGCGUGGGAAUGUGCCCUUCUCUACGGAAUAGCCCUGGGAAACUGGGAGUAAUACCGUAUACGCCCUAUUGGGGAAAGAUUUAUCGGAGAAGGAUCAGCCCGCGUUGGAUUAGGUAGUUGGUGGGGUAAUGGCCUACCAAGCCGACGAUCCAUAGCUGGUUUGAGAGGAUGAUCAGCCACACUGGGACUGAGACACGGCCCAGACUCCUACGGGAGGCAGCAGUGGGGAAUCUUAGACAAUGGGGGCAACCCUGAUCUAGCCAUGCCGCGUGAGUGGUGAAGGCCUUAGGGUUGUAAAGCUCUUUCAGCUGGGAAGAUAAUGACGGUACCAGCAGAAGAAGCCCCGGCUAACUCCGUG
rnacentral:rRNA from 1 species